CAACACCUGAAACUGAGCGAUACCUACGGUUUCGACAGGAGCGCGACGUUAGCGAUAAGAAAGAGAAAAAGGGCUGCUAAAAAAAAACAAAAAAACAUGCCCGCACUCAGGCUGAAGGUCACAAUGUCUGCUGUGAAAAGGGCCCCGUCGCUGAUGGUGACUGGACCAAAGCUGUGUUUGGCUGCAAACACACUGUGUGCUCUGACCAUAGCUGUUAUCGUGGCCUUCAUCCACAGUUGGCAGCUCACCCUCCCCAUCCUGGCAUGUGUGCUCGUCCUCUCUGAGGCCAACUUCAUUUAAAUGAGGGCAGCAGCGGCGGGACGUUCCUCUAAGGACCAGCAUUUACAGCUCGACUGCUCCAUCGCAGAACAAGUAUAAACAAUGCAGAGGAUGUAGGAGGAUAGUUGUACUAACCGCAGACUCGUGUCGACGCUUGGACAUUUUUGUGUGUUUAAGAUGAUAAAAGUUCAGUGUGACAUUGUGGGCCUUUGUCAGGACUUCUAACAGUCGAACAGUGUGUGGUGCUGGAGGUCCAAAUGUACUGCAACACAAUGAACAACGUCUGUAUUGGAGUGUAAGAGGGUGAGUGACACAUCUGUAACUACACUAUCUUUGAUUUCUAAUCCAACAUUUUUAAGCAUUAUUAGUGACUACAUGAAGUUCUUCUAAGCUUCUGUCUCCUGUGGUGCUUUGACACUGACACACUCCUGAGCCAGACCUGCUAUGUGUGAAAGUUAGGGUGAACCAAUUUUUGUGAUCAUCUUAUGUCAAUUUCCUUUUGAGCGUAGAUAUCUGGUAAUGUGGGAAAAGUCCUUAAUGUUCGUCUCGGA